rnacentral:piRNA from 1 species
UAGUCGUUCUUUGCUCGACUUCGGAGCGGU